rnacentral:rRNA from 1 species
AUUGAACGCUGGCGGCAGGCCUAACACAUGCAAGUCGAACGAGUGGCGGACGGGUGAGUAAUGUCUGGGAAACUGCCUGAUGGAGGGGGAUAACUACUGGAAACGGUAGCUAAUACCGCAUACCAUCAGAUGUGCCCAGAUGGGAUUCGCUUGUUGGUGGGGUAACGGCUCACCAAGGCGACGAUCCCUAGCUGGUCUGAGAGGAUGACCAGCCCCAAUGGAACCGAGAACCGGUCCAGACUCCUACGGGGGGACAGAGUGGGGAAUAUUGCACAAGGGGCGCAAGCCUGAUGCAGCCAUGCCGCGGUUAUUAAGAAGGCCUUCGGGUUGUAAAGGACUUUCAGCGGGGAGGCGUUACCCGCAGAAGAAGCACCGGCUAACUCCGUGCCAGCAGCCGCGGUAAUUC